UAAUAAUAAAAAAAUCAAAUACAGUAUUCUGUACCAUAGCGUUGCUCUGAUACCAUUUGUUUAUUUUUUUUAUAUAGCUUGAAGCCUAGACGAUGUAUAGCAAGAGAGCCUAAUCUCCUUAAUUAGCAUGCACAAAGUGUAUUCACACACAGUAACAGCAGCAAAAUGUUAUUUGUAUUGUCUACUUUUAGUUUCCAUUUCCAGGUGUCUUUAAUGGUGUUUAGAAAGUAUGGACCCAGAAUGAAAUGUUUUGAAGCAGGCAGAAGUCACUCAAUUUAUUUUGUUGUGGUCUGAGCCAAAGAGAGUGUCAUUCUCUUGGAUAGGUGAAACAAAAUCUGUAAGCUCUUUGAAUCAACCUUUCCUUGUAAACGUUUCAGUAAUAAAAACAUCUUACCAAUCAUUGGUCAAUUUGGUUGUGUAAGAGAAUGUCGAACAUUUAUAUUUUUAAUAAAAGCUGCAAAGGUAAUCAUGACUUUAUUUUUCCUUUUCAGUAUUCAUAGGAGUAAAACUUCCAGCCCCUGGCUUCCUUCGACCUGACAGCAGCACAAGAAGUGCUGAAAACUCUUUGCAUUAAUUUCCUACUAAAAAUACAAACAUAUGUCAAGUGGCUUACACAGAUACUGCAGUCGCCUUGGACUCAUCUGUGUACCUCAGGUUGCUCCUCUGAGGUUAAGUUAAAUAAUUUGGGAAGUUGCUUCCAGCUCUAAGACUUGGUAGUUCUAUGAAUGGUAGAUCAAUUCAUAAUAGAAAUAACAUUUAACCCUGAUUAACUAUAAGAUGUUAAAUAAUUGGAAAGGGCAGGGAAGGAGGAAAGGAAAAGAGAAAUGUUGAGGCAGGGCAUUCCUCCAAACUCUAGGGCCAACAUGCUGCCUUUUUUUUUUUUUUUUUUUUUUUGUAUGAGAAAGUCUCACUUUAUGAAGCUACUACAUUAGCACCAUAAAAUAUACUUCUUCUAUGCUAUUUGCCAGUGCCUACUUCUAAUAGGAGAAACUCAAUAGUUUCUACACUUAAAUAUAAUGCUGUGAAAUGGCACUUGGGAAACUUUUUAUAUAAAAAGUAUUUUGACUUUAAUAACUUCACAAGUGCGCUUCUCAUUUAUGUCUAUACCAAUCUUAGUUUAAUUCUUAAGGAUACAAAUUAUCUCUAGCAUUUCUAAAAUGGAACAGGUGCAGCCAAUUAGUUUUAUAAUGCAUUUAUCUUUGGUAGUUGAGUUACAACUUACAGAAAUUCAAUUGAAUGUUUAAUACUUCAAAAUUAAUUUGGAUGUCUGUAGAUGCUUCUUCCUGUGGGACCCCUUAAAUACACUUGACUGAUGUAUUAAUAAGAUAACAUGAAACACUGAAUAAGUCAUUAUAAGACUAAGUUGUUAAAAACAGCAUUUAUUUAAGAGUUCAUACAGAAUAAAGUUAUACUUAUGUUUUGAAAGAGGCAUCAUGGUGGGACAAAUAAAGCAUGAUUUAAAUAUGCAUGUAUUUUAUAUGUGUAUUGUAUGUGUACAUAUAUUUAAAUACAUGCAGUUAUUCUAUAGUUCACCAGGUUGGUGCCUCAGUAGAUACAUAAGGAAAGUAGACAAUUGCUGAUGGAAAUUCUUUUUCAAUUUAAUUGCUUGAUAUCUGCACAUCUAACUAAGAUUAGAAAAAUGUCACAAGAAAUGUCCCAGGCCUUCAGCCUUCUGGACUAUGGAAAUAUCACCAGAGUUAAAGAACAUUUCUGGAUAUAUGAGUGACAUCUGUUACGGAAAUGAGGAAACCUUUGGAAAAUGUUUCAUAUCUUUGGUCAAUGAUUUACCUUUUGUCCAUAUAUUGAUAAAUCAGUCACUUCUGAAUUAACACUGAAUUUCACUGACCAACUGCACGGUUAAAGAAGAAAGAAUAAGAGCUACUAUGAUAUAAUAACAAAAGCCAAUGCCUAUUAGAGACAAGAGUGUAGUGUAUACUUUUUCAACACUUGCCACUUGUUACAGACACACGCACACAUAUCACACCUACAUACUCUUUAUAAUGUUUCCCACACAAUAAAAGAUUUUCAUAAGAUAAGUUUCUUUUUUCCAAUGCUUUCAGCAACCAUGUUUUUCAAACUUGUUUUCCCUCUGGAAAGUCAUCUGGAAUUAAAGGGGUUUUUGUUUUGUUUUGGUUGGGUUUUUUGCAGAAAUCCUGUUCAGAGGUCCCUUUCAUCACCUGCAUUGUAUUAAUUUCAUCUAGGUUCCCUGCUGCUGGUGUGCAUCUCAGCCAGGCAGACAGAGGGCAACAGUUGGAAUGAACAUCACUCAUUCAGGGAGUUCAACCAGGAAAAGGAGAAGACGUGGCGAGCUGGCUCAGAAUCAGCUCCACUCCCACUCCCCGAAGCUGCAGCCUGUACCUGGAGGGGAGGGUCCUCAAAUCCAGUCUGCAAUAGAAGAAAAUCUGAAUCAGAGGAAGAAGAGCCUAGUCCUUUUGGAUCUGACCUGGCUGAAAUCCCCUUGAUGUUGCUGCACCCAGGAUAUCUUUCAGAGAUCUCUCUCAGGAAAGACUGUAGAGGUUUCAAAGAGACUGAGAAGUCACCUGGCCCACAUUCCCACCAGUGCCAAGAAUUUCCUAUGUAUCUUUGACAGGAGUCAUCCGGCUGCCUCCUGGGUGCCUCUGAUAAGCAAUACAUGAAGACUAAGGUGGGCACCCUUCCAUCUUUCUGGACUACAAGACCUUCAAAAUGCUGUGAAGGUCAGUUAACAACAAACGCCUCAGCUUAUCAACUCCCUCCUCCGAGGUAAUUAGGGAACAAGUAUAUGCUAUGAAAGAAAAAUAUGCUCUUAGAGGCCAGCUCACUAGUGAGUGAUUACUCUGAAUUUCAGUACCUACUGUGCCUUUGUAAAUGUGGACCUGAAAUGCUUUCAACAGUGACUUUCCAGUAACCUGAAAAAUGGAAUGGGAAAAACGUGGACUUCUGCAUUAUCAAAAUGUCUGCAGGUAGCACACUUUAAAGGAUGACUGUUACCUGCAAAAGCGUGAUAGCAACCAUCUUUAUCUCUUCUCCACAAAAACUUCCUCACCUCAAAGAUUUCUUUUUGCUUUUAAUGUUCUAUUUUACUUAUUUCAGUAAAAAGGCUGGGUUAAAAAAAAGUCUUCAGUAAAAAUUCUUGGCUCUGUACCUUCUCCCUCCCCCAACGUCUCUGGAUAGUAAUUGAAUCAAGAUACAUACUUUUUAAACUUUCAAGUUUAUGUUUUCAAAUAUUCUCCAUUUUCUUCCUUUUGAUAUCUGUGGUUCCUAUGUCCUGUGUGUGUGUGUGUACACAUGCACAUGUGCAUGCAUGCAUACCUGGGUGAGUGUGUUUAGCAACUGAAGUAACUUCCAUCAUGAAUGCCCUAGGCAUUGGCCUCCAAGCAUAUUCUGAUGCAUAGCCUCCAGCUGCAACAUGACCUACCUCCUGGGUCUGCCAGGACAGUUAUAUGUAUUGGCUUCUUAGAAGAACAAAAUAAAAGUUGUCCGUGAUCCUUGAAUGAAAAUAAAAUCCAUCCCAUCUCUAAGGUGAACCCAGUAUGGAUGCAAUAUACCAAAAAGGGGUGAUUUUAUAAAGGGAAAACUAUGCUGCCCAUAUUAAAAAGGCAAAAUGAUGACAGGUAGAAUAUCUGUUUCUAACCAAUGUCAUAAUAUUUGGCUAAAAAGAAAAAAAUCAAGUAAUCAUUUGGUCAUUUCCUUCGAAGUGAGUAGGUAAUCUUUAAUAUUCAUCUAAAGCCCAUUGUUUAGCUGUUGCUUUCAUAGAAAUGUUAAAACUGACAAGUUCUAAUUUUUAGCCUGCUUUAUAUUUUAAUGGUAAUAAGAUAUAAGAUAUGCAGUUGCAAAAAGGAGCUUUCCAUGGAAAAAAAUCAACAAUAGACAAUCUUAUACUAAAGAGUAGAUAGUUAGACAAGCAAAGUACCGUCAUCCUGUUGUUUUUAAUGCCUAGAUUUUCAGUGGCUCACCUUCUCCCCAGGCACUUAUUACUCUCUGAGAUGAUCUUGUUAUUUAUUUGUUUUAUUGUCUAACUCCUGUACUAGAAUAAAACCUUCCUGAGAGCAGGAAACUUUUCUGUUUAGUUCAUCACUAUUUUCCAGUAUUAUGUGUGCAGAAUACGGUGUAUAAUGCACACCUGAGAAAUAUGAUCUGAAUGACUGAGUGAAUGAAUGAAAUAUGAUUUGUAUUUAGGGAUAUUCAGUCCUCAAAAGUUUCUAUGUUCCCAGAAAAUAGAUAUUUAAGUAGAUACUCCACGACUCUGCUUCGUUUAGUGCUCAAAAGAAAACUGUGCAACCUUAGGGAAGCCAUUUAAUCUCAGGAUGAUUUUCUUAUCUGUACAAUAAGGGUUGGGAUUGGAUGAUUGCCAAGGUCCCUUUUGACUACAGUUCCAAGACUCUAUGACUUCAGAUAAAUGUGGGGAUAUUUCAGUGUCUUAAGGCUCUAAAAUGCCUCUUCCUAUUCCUGGCAAGUUUCAGAGUGGUUAUCUACAGUAUUAAGACAUAAAUUAUAUGUCCGGACCCUGCAAUGUCAGUCCCAGCUUGGGAAUGUGCCAGGGCUAUGACAGGAAAACCUAAGACAAUUGUAACCAUUGCUCUUACCAUGUAAGGAACAUGCCUCUGUGACCAAAAUAGAGCUGAAGAUAAGCUCUUAGCCCACCAUUUGUCACUGAGCAACUGUGGCUCUACCCAGCCCAUUCACAUACGCACUGCAUACCUCCAGCACUCAUCCACACACUCUCGUUUGGGGCUGCAGCUCUGGGUCUGGAAGUGCUCAGUCAGCUACAUUUGAAAUACAGUACUUUAGAAUUCCCUUCAUUAAGCCAAAUAGGGUUUCCUUUCCCCACCACCCCCAAAAGAAGGGGGGGAAGCAGAUUAAUAUUACUGAAGAGAGAACUGUAUUAAAGUAGAAAGAUUCUCCUGAGGAAAUCAGUCAACAUUUACUGGUAAAGCCCCAAUUUCUAGCACUUGGGAGAAGUUCCACGAGUGCAGACUAGGAUGAAAAAGUGGGUCUCCACCGGGCUAUACAAGAAAAGAGGCAGACAAAUGAGGAUAACAUGUUCCUUCCAGGCACAUGAACUGGAGUUCAGCUCCUCUCCCAUCAGCGGGGUCCCCUUGUGCAGUGCUCAGCAGAGCAACUCUACCCAGCAGCCAUGGGUCUCCAGACUCCCAAACUCAUGCUGUUUCUACCAUAUCACGUUGCCACCCACUUCAUGUUAGAAGAACAAUUAUGUUCUAAUCAAUGGAUCUCUAAAACUUACUCCUGGGGUUCUUCUCCAGAUCAUUUAAAAGCUCCUUGAGCAAACUCUCUAAAGCAGAGAGCCCAGUGAGCCAUACUGACUUGGGUCCUCUGGUUCAGUGAAAGCCACAAGCCCAUGGCAAGCUGAGAAGUUAUUUAAUUUGCUCCCAUACGUAGUAGAGAGUCAACUCGUCUCCCAGAAGAGCCUCAGCCUCCCUUGGUUGCCAGUAUUUUGCCUCUUAGAUAAAUAAUAGGGCUAAUAUCUCCUGCCAUUCAUGUUCAGUUUUUCCAUCUGAAGGGGGUUGCUUAGCUCUGCAUCAUAAUUACUCAGGACCCUGAAGGUCUUACUCUGAUACUGCUUAAAAGAUGCUCCAGAUGCUCCAGUGGUUCAAAUUAUUAUUAGCAUUGUUACAAUAAGUGUGGUCUUUCCAAGCUGACUAUGAGAAUAAUAUGAGGUAACACUUAUCAAGCCCCUGGCAUGUGCCUCUUACCCCAAUUUAGUCAUCUCAAUAACACUGUGAAGAAUGUAGUAUUAACCCCAGUGUACCAGUGAGGAAGUUGAGGGACAAAGGGCUUAAGUAACUUCCCAAGGUCAUAUAAUUAAAUGACAGCUAAAAGUCUAACUCUGAAACCUGUUCUUUUAAGCAUAUGUUCUAUUGCCUUUGAAAUGUUGCCUUAAAAAUUCUGGAAUGCUUAUUAAAGUGAUUCUUACAAUAUUUAUACGUCAUAUUUGUAACUUCAUGGACAGUGUCCUAAAAGCUAUUUGGGUAAAAUUAUUGUUUUGGAAAUACAAUAGGUUUGUUGUCAUUGAAGAAUCAUUGGCGGAUCUUAUUAAAGUCCUCAUUUUUCAGAUAAUGGAAAUGCUCAAGAUCAAAUAGUUAUUAUUCAACUUGUAGCUGUUUCCUUUAGACAUGCAUCCAUACAAAACAGGAUUAUUUCUAGGCCUGCUUGUCUGUCAGCUUCAGGAGGACCGGAAUUAAUAGCCUACUCUCUUGGGUAUCUAGUGACAUAGGAUAAAUGCCCUUUGUAAAGACUAUAAGACGGAGACAGAGGUUAUGAUUUUUAGCAAUGAAGAAGGAAAGCCAAGCACAGUAUUCUGGAAACAGAGAGCUCCCAAGGCAGUGCACUUGUCCACUCCAACCAGCAGCCCUCUUUCUGAGUCCUAGCCUAUCCCAGAACAUUUCCUGGGCUGGAAAGGCAAGUAUAGCUCCAGACCAUGCUGGGCUUAUAUAGAACAGCCUAGAAGGCCCUCCAACCUGCAGUCGAGAGCUCUGGGAACAUCUCAGCCUGUGCAACAUUCAGCUAGGAGUACUAAAAAGGCUGAAGGCUCCUUCACCCACUGUCAGAUCCACAGCAAAGAGAAAAAAAAUGCCACUCCUCCUUUUGACACAGUUCAGAUUGCCCUUUCAUGACUACAGCCCUUUUCAAAGCCACUCUCAUAAUCAUUGUAAACUCAUAUCAAUUGCAUACAUUAUUUAAAAAAAUUUUUUAAUGUUUAUUUAUUUGUUUUGAGAGAGAGAGUGAGAGAGAGAGCAGGGGAGGGGCAGAGAGUGAGAAUCCCAAGCAGGCUCUGCAAAGUCAGCACUGAGCUGGAUGCAGGGCUCCUUCCCACAAACUGGGAGAUCAUGACCUGAGACGAAAUCAAGAGUUGGACACUUAACUGACUGAACCACCCAGGUGCCCCUUUUAAUUUUAAUUUUUAAAAUGUUACUUAUUUUGAGAGAGAGUGAGCAAGCACACAUGCAUGAACUGGGGAGCAGCAGAGAG